CGUAGGGGGCAAGCGUUGUCCGGAUUUAUUGGGCGUAAAGAGCGUGUAGGCGGCCAGAUAGGUCGGUUGUGAAAACUAGAGGCUCAACCUCUAGACGUCGACCGAAACCAUCUGGCUAGAGUCCGGAAGAGGAGAGUGGAAUUCCUGGUGUAGCGGUGGAAUGCGCAGAUAUCAGGAAGAACACCCGUGGCGAAGGCGGCUCUCUGGGACGGUACUGACGCUGAGACGCGAAAGCGUGGGGAGCGAACAGGAUUAGAUACCCUGGUAGUCCACGCUGUAAACGAUGGGUGCUAGGUGUGGGGGGUGUCGACUCCCCCCGUGCCGCAGCUAACGCAUUAAGCACCCCGCCUGGGGAGUACGGCCGCAAGGCUA
rnacentral:rRNA from 1 species